rnacentral:RNase_P_RNA from 1 species
UUGACAGACUAUUCCAUCGUCCCGCUUGAGGCGGGAAGGAAAGUCGGGACAGCAUAGAGCACCUUACUUCCUAACGGGAAGGGUCAGCCUCGCCUUAGGCGAGACGGAUACAGCAAGUGCCACAGAAAAUAACUACCCUUGCCUUUGGUGAGGGAAAAGGUGAAAAUGUGAGGUAAGAGCUCACGCUGUGUGGUGGCAACAUCGCAGAGGGGUAAACCUUAGGGGCUGCAAGAUCAAAUAUACCGACAAUUCAGCUUAUGCUGAUAAGGGCUGCUCGCCUGAUGCCGGAGGGUAGAUUGCUAAAGUUGCAUGGUGACAUGUAACGUAGAUAAAUGAUGGAAGUCCGCCUUAGGCGGAUUACAGAAUCCCGCUUAUUGGUCUGUUAAAUUC